GAUGAAGAACGUAGCGAAAUGCGAUAAGUAAUGUGAAUUGCAGAAUUCAGUGAAUCAUCGAAUCUUUGAAUGCACAUUGCGCCCGGCAGUACUCUGCCGGGCAUGCCUGUUCGAGCGUCAUUUCAACCCUCAAGCCCUGCUUGGUGUUGGGGCCCCACGGCUGCCGUGGGCCCUGAAAGGAAGUGGCGGGCUCGCUACAACUCCGAGCGUAGUAAUUCAUUAUCUCGCUUAGGGCGUUGGGCGGCGCUCCAGCCGUUAAAGAACCAUCUUUAACUCAAGGUUGACCUCGGAUCAGGUAGGAAUACCCGCUGAACUUAAGCAUAUCAAUAAGCGGAGGA
rnacentral:misc_RNA from 1 species